UGCCUCAGUAACGGCGAGUGAAGCGGCAAAAGCUCAAAUUUGAAAUCUAGUACCUUCGGUGCUCGAGUUGUAAUUUGUAGAGGGAUACUUUGGGGCCGUUCCUUGUCUAUGUUCCUUGGAACAGGACGUCAUAGAGGGUGAGAAUCCCGUGUGGCGAGGAGUGCGGUUCUAUGUAAAGUGCCUUCGAAGAGUCGAGUUGUUUGGGAAUGCAGCUCUAAGUGGGUGGUAAAUUCCAUCUAAAGCUAAAUAUUGGCGAGAGACCGAUAGCGAACAAGUACAGUGAUGGAAAGAUGAAAAGAACUUUGAAAAGAGAGUGAAAAAGUACGUGAAAUUGUUGAAAGGGAAGGGCAUUUGAUCAGACAUGGUGUUUUGCGCCCUCCGCUCCUUGUGGGUGGGGGACUCUCGCAGCUCACUGGGCCAGCAUCAGUUU
rnacentral:rRNA from 1 species